GGAAGUAAAAGUCGUAACAAGUUUUCCGUAGGUGAACCUGCGGAAGGAUCAUUCAUAAUAAGUGUUUUAUGGCACUUUUUUAAAUCCAUAUCCACCUUGUGUGCAAUGUCAGGGUUGAUUUUUCUCUCGAGAGGAUCAACCCCGAACAUCAACUAUAUCUCAACUCUUUGUCUGAAAAAUAUUAUGAAUAAAACAAUUCAAAAUACAACUUUCAACAACGGAUCUCUUGGCUCUC
rnacentral:misc_RNA from 1 species